rnacentral:lncRNA from 1 species
CAUUAUCCAAGUACCAGUGAUCUGUAGAAUUCAAGUCUCCCUUCUUGUCAUCAUGAAAGUCAGGACACACCUUCUCGUUGAAUAAAAUAACCUUCUGUUCAUCGUUGUCAAGACAACGCUCCUCGGUGUCAUGACAACGCCCCCCGGUGUCAAAACAGCACGCGCUUGCUACUGCUAUCAACAGCGCAGGUUCAUGGUCUGCAAAAUUGGCUUCCUCUUUCUCCUUCUUCUUCUUGGGAGCUUUGCACCGAUUUGCAUAGUGACC